rnacentral:ncRNA from 1 species
GCGGUCCGGACGUGAAAGUCCGGCCAAGAGGGAACGCCGUGAGAGUCGGCGACAGUACCCGCUGCUGUAAGUCCCGUUGUCGCUCGGAACACGAGAGCCACUGCCGCGCAGAAGCCCGGUGGGAAGGCGUUCCGAAGGGAAGGACAAGUCAGAAGACCUGCCGCCGAGAA